GAUGAACGCUGGCGGCGUGCCUAAUACAUGCAAGUCGAGCGAACAGACGAGGAGCUUGCUCCUCUGACGUUAGCGGCGGACGGGUGAGUAACACGUGGAUAACCUACCUAUAAGACUGGGAUAACUUCGGGAAACCGGAGCUAAUACUGGAUAAUAUAUUGAACCGCAUGGUUCAAUAGUGAAAGACGGUUUUGCUGUCUCUUAUAGAUGGAUCCGCGCCGCAUUAGCUAGUUGGUAAGGUAACGGCUUACCAAGGCAACGAUGCGUAGCCGACCUGAGAGGGUGAUCGGCCACACUGGAACUGAGACACGGUCCAGACUCCUACGGGAGGCAGCAGGAGGGAAUCUUCCGCAAUGGGCGAAAGCCUGACGGAGCAACGCCGCGUGAGUGAUGAAGGUCUUCGGAUCGUAAAACUCUGUUAUUAGGGAAGAACAAGUGUGUAAGUAACUAUGCACGUCUUGACGGUACCUAAUCAGAAAGCCACGGCUAACUACGUG
rnacentral:rRNA from 1 species